AUCUCAGGACAGCUCUGAGGGAGGAUGGUAUCCCAACGGAAAAGCAUCCUGAGACAUGGGGGCCCAGGAACCACACAGCUCUGAGAGGAAGCCUCCUCCGCAGAGCAUUUGCAGCCCCUGAGGAGGGUAUCCCCGGCUGAGCUCAAGAGCUCAGGAGCAGGCAGCAAAUCUCAUAAAAGAGAUUUAGAGGGAGGAUCCAGGGUGCGGAGGGAUAAAUCUAGGGGUGGCUACCUCUGCUCCAGGGAGCAGACAGCAGGGAGCUGAGCAGACACAGCGUUUAUAUAGGAUCCCUUAGUGGGUGGAGCUUUCUACGAGCGGAGAUUUCCAGGGGAGUACAACAGGAAAGGCUUUGCCCACCUCUGGAGUGGUGUCCAUAGCCAACAGUGAGACUUAAAAUGGCCAUGUUGAAGGAACCGUGUCAUUGGAGGUGGGCUUUAAGAAUGUAAGGACUCGGUCUCUCACUGCAGCAACGCAAGCGCGAGCUCGGAAAGAGAAUCCACGUGUUGUAAGAAAAUGGCAGACAAGGCAGACAUGCGGGAAAUCGCCAGCUUCGAUAAGGCCAAGCUGAAGAAAACCGAGACGCAGGAGAAUAACACCCUGCCGACCAAAGAGACCAUCGAACAGCUCAGGAUGUGAGCCCUCGGCUUCCACUUCAGCCACCAAGCCUGCUGCAUGCUGCCAGGCUUCCCAGACAUGACAAACUCUGGAUCCACAAGCCCAAAUAAAGUCUCAUAUAAAUGGU